CAGCAGCCGCGGUAAUACGUAGGGUGCAAGCGUUAAUCGGAAUUACUGGGCGUAAAGCGUGCGCAGGCGGUUAUAUAAGACAGAUGUGAAAUCCCCGGGCUCAACCUGGGAACUGCAUUUGUGACUGUAUAGCUAGAGUACGGCAGAGGGGGAUGGAAUUCCGCGUGUAGCAGUGAAAUGCGUAGAUAUGCGGAGGAACACCGAUGGCGAAGGCAAUCCCCUGGGCCUGCACUGACGCUCAUGCACGAAAGCGUGGGGAGCAAACAGGAUUAGAUACCCCCGUAGUCCCUGUCUCUUAUAA
rnacentral:rRNA from 1 species